rnacentral:misc_RNA from 1 species
GAUGAAGAACGCAGCGAAAUGCGAUACGUAAUGUGAAUUGCAGAAUUCAGUGAAUCAUCGAGUCUUUGAACGCACAUUGCGCCCCCUGGUAUUCCGGGGGGCAUGCCUGUCCGAGCGUCAUUGCUGCCCUCAAGCACGGCUUGUGUGUUGGGCCUCCGUCCUCCCCCCGGGGGACGGGCCCGAAAGGCAGCGGCGGCACCGCGUCCGGUCCUCGAGCGUAUGGGGCUUCGUCACCCGCUCUUGUAGGCCCGGCCGGCGCUUGCCGACACAUCAAUCUUUUUUCCAGGUUGACCUCGGAUCAGGUAGGGAUACCCGCUGAACUUAAGCAUAUCAAUAAGCGGAGGA